rnacentral:rRNA from 1 species
GACGAACCGUGCGAACGUUGUUUGGAAUCACUGGGCUUAAAGGGCGCGUAGGCGGGCGGUCCAGUCAGGGGUGAAAUCUUUCGGCUCAACCGGAAAAGUGCCCCUGAUACUGACCACCUCGAGGGGUGUAGGGGCAUGUGGAACUAAUGGUGGAGCGGUGAAAUGCGUAGAUAUCAUUAGGAACGCCGGUGGCGAAAGCGACGUGCUGGACACCUUCUGACGCUGAGGCGCGAAAGCCAGGGGAGCAAACGGG